UUAUAAUGGAAGAUAUAAGAUAUAUUGCCUUCCUUAAAUCACUCCUUAAUAGAAUCACUGCUUAAGCUAAUUAAUCACAUGACUUUCUCAUAAGCAUAUCCCAUAAAUUAAAGUAAAAUCUCAUCAAUUCCAACAGGAAGAGUGACAAGCUCCAAAGUUUCAUUUUUUAUCAAGGCCUCAUCUUUUCAAUCAUAGCUUCUUUCAACUUUGCAUCAUUAAUAACCUCCUGCCAAUCUUAUAAAAUAAAAACAGAAGAUAUAGAGGCUACAUAGAAAGGAGACAAUGACCAUAUGAAACAAAGUUAAAGAUGGAAUAUUUACUAGAGGUUCUAACUCCAUUUUUAACAACAAUAGUAAUAUCAAGAUCAUUUGUAAAAGGACUAGAAGUAGAAGAAGUAGAAUUAGAAAUACAGAUUGAAGGAUACUUGCUAUCGUCUAUAUCAGGACCGAGUCCAGAGGUGUCACUUGACUAGAUAGAACUUCCCCAAUAGCUUUAUUUGUUGCAUUGUCUUUACAUGAGUACCUCUUUAUAUAUGGCCUACCUAACCUCACAAUUUUAUUAAGAUCAACCUCUAUGCCAUUUUCUUUUUUGUUAUUUGUCACCAUCAUUUACCUUAUUUUUACUCUCCCUCUCACUAAGAAUUAUACUAAUCUUAUUUUCACUCUCCUCCUCACUAAGAAUUAUACUAAAAUCUUUAUGAAUGUGAAGUUUGAUGGUAUCAUCUCUUCUACAUUAUUCUCCUCCUGAAGAGAUGACUGAGAUGGAGAAAAAUAGAGCACUAAUUCUUGAAAAGUAACAUUUAUACUCAUAAAAAAUUUACUAGAAGGUGAAUGAUAGCACUCAUAGCCCUUUUAAGUGGCAAAGUACUCAAUAAAUACACAUUUAAGGGCUCGAGGUUCCAGCUUUCCCACAUUUCUCCUAUGCACAAAACAUGCACAUUCAAAGACUUUAGGUAGAACAACAUAAUAAUUAAUACCUUGUAAAAUUUCCAAAGAACUGAAAGUUCAAUAUUUUCGAAGGCAUUCGAUUAAUAAGAUAUGUUGCUGAAAGCACUGCAUCCCCCAACAGGUUUUUGGAACAUUCAUAAUGAACAUAAAGGACUGAGUAACUUCUAGUAAAUGUCAUUUUUCCUUCCAGAGACUAUUUUGAGCAGUUGUAUUCACAUGACUAGUCUGAUGCAAAGUCCUAUGAGAAUUAAGAUGGUCAAAAAAAGACACUUUUCAUAUACUUGGUGCCAUAAUCAGUUUUGAAAACUUUCACUAUGGUAUUGAAUUGAGUAUAUAUCAUUUUAUGAAAUAACUUAAAACAACAACAAACCUCAUUCUCAGCAUGCAUCAAAUACACCUAAGUCAUCAUACUACAACAAUCAAUAAAAGAAACAAACCAUCUAUAGCCAAACAAUGACAAAGUUUAAUAGGAACCCCAUACAUCAAAAAGAAUAGUCAUGAAAGGAUCAUAAAUUUUAUUACUAAUAGAAGGAUAAGAAGUUUUGCUAUGUUUUGAAAACUCACAAGCAUAACCGAUUAGAGAAUCUAGUUUGCACAAUGUUGAGAUACUUGUGAUCCUUGCUUAUUAUCUGUCAUAAGUGUAUUAUAAUUAGGAUGUAAAUUAGCCUAGAAUAUGUAUUCUUACCUUUUUAGUGGUAAACUACCUACUUGCAAAAUUGUAGAUCCUUUACAUCACUAGAGACUAAAUCCCACCAGAAACUAGAUUAUGAAUUGAAAUAAAAACCUCUUAGCAGUAAAUUAUACUUAUUUACACAAAAAAAAAGGAUUUAAUAAAAUUAAUUUAUAAGUUGGGGCAUCAAUCAAGUAUCUAUUUGUACUAAUAUUUGGUAAGACCACUAGCAAAUUAAUUCCUACAUGGGAAUUACUUGUCAUUAGGUGGAUAAUAGUUUUUCAUUUCAAAAAAGCUUUUAUAUUUUAGAUUUUUUAACAAAAAAAACAUACUGCUCAAAAUAUUACUAGAUUAAUAAAAAUAUUUUAGAUGGAUAUUUCUUAAAUCAUAAAAUUUUUUUUAAUUGGUUUUGAUAACGCUAGUGCUAAUAUUGUAUCUAUUAAUGAGUUAAAAAAAGUAUGUCAACCAAUUUUAGGUGUUAGAUUUUUCCAUGUUAGAUGUACUUAUCAUGUGUGUUCAAGAUGCCUUUUCAUCUUUGUCUAUUUUUAUUCAACCUAUAAAAAAAUUCUUAAUUUUUUUUUUAUGAAUAUAUGGUAGUGUUAUUAAAAAAUGGGAACAAUAUUGUGGUGAAAAUGACAUGCACCCAAGGAAAUUUGCUAAGUAUGUCCCCACAAGGUGAAAUUCCACUUAUAAAAUGUUAAAUCAAACUUUCGAAUAUAGAAAUUUAUUAUAUUCAUUUGUUCAAUGUCGUUUAUUCAUUUUUUAAAUUUUUCUUGCGAUCUCAACAAUUCGAAUGUAAAAGUAAUUGUGAUUGCAAGUUUUUAAUGAUUCCACAUUUACUUCUCAUUUUUUACUAACUAACUUCACAAUUUUUUUUAAUUGAAACUUUAAUUGUAGUAAGUAUUUUAAAAGAAAAUGAAAAUAAUGUGCAAUUAAAUGAAUCAAUUGAUACCAUGAAACAAAAAUGACUCAAUUAUUUUAAAGAGAUUCCUUUAAUUUUUCUUGUUAUUAGUGUUUUAGAUACUAGGGCAAAAUUAGAUGGUUUCUUUGAUAUAUUAAUGGACUUUUAUACAUGCACAGGAAAAGAGAUAGAUUUUAUGAAAACAUGUCAAAUACUAAGACAAAAUAUAGUAGAUAUGUAUGAUUUACAUUGUACGUCAUAUAAUGCAAUUAGCCCACAUUCUUCUACCCCAUUGACGCCAAGUCAAUCCAUUGAAAGCUGACUAGAGCAAUAAUUUAUGAUGCAACAUUAUGAAAAAUAAAAAAUCACUGAUGGUCUAACCAAAUUAGAUAAAUAUCUUUCAACAAAUUUUCAAUUUAGUGACACUUUUGAUUUUAUUUUCCCCUUUAAUGAUCGGAAAAACAUGAACCAAAAUUUUCAAUCUUAGCAAAAGAUUACCAAAGAAUUGCUAGGCUUACCUGUGUCAAUAACGGUGGUUGAACAAGUAUUUAGUGCAUGGGGAAAUUACUAGGUAAAACUCGGUCUAGUAUGAACUUAAAAUCAUUUACACCACAAGCUUGCAUCAAUGAAUGGACAAAAGCCAACGAUCGUCAAUAAGGAAAUACAAUAGAGACAACCAUGACGACUUCGCAAUUCAAAGCACAUUGAUAUAAAUGAAGAAUAAACUAAUAAGUUAUGUGGUAUUUUUUAAAUAGAUAAGAGAACUAUAAGAGCUAUGAUUUCUCCAUCCUAAAAGGACACGUAAGCAAUUUAAUGAUCAAAUAAUUAAAUUAAAGCCUAAUGGUUUUUUUUUUUCAUUUUUCCAAAAUUAAUAAUGUAAUUUUUUUCUCUUUGCAAUUAAAUCAAUUAUAAGUAAUUUUUUCUUCUAUUUUAAUUAAGAAAUGUAUUUUUCUAACUUGUAAAUUGAUGUAUUUUUUUUUUAAUUUUUUUUUGUAUCCCGUUAGUCAUACAAACAAACGCAUAAUUGGUUUUUAAGACAAUCUUAA
rnacentral:misc_RNA from 1 species